CUCAGUUGGGUUGUCUAAACACUCCUGGUCUUCAAAAUCACAAAAGUUUCCUUCUGAAAAUAUUUUUGAAUUGCAAAGAGGAAAUGUCACAUAAUGCAUUUUUAUAAACCAUAAAUUAUGUGAAUAUAGGAAAAAUACCAAAGUUUGUCAGAAAAUAAAGGGGCUCAGUACCAACUCAAUGCAAAAAAGAAUCAACUGAAUUGGACUUAUAAAUAAAAAGUUAGGAGUGGUCAAAGUUUCGUGAAAAAUCUGAACUUAAUUAGGAAAUCAGAAAGUAAAGGCGUCUCCACUUACCGCUUCGGGCACGGGCUCCUAUCACCGACAGGUGGGGCAUGUCUGCUUAAAAAACAGAGAGGGAGGUGAAGACUGAGGUUGGGCGGGGCUCCGACGACGGUCGCCAGCGAUAGAGACGGCGGCGGUGCUCGGAGUUGGGGAAAAUGGAUCGGCUGCUCCAAGACGAACAUGCACGUACCCACAGCGUGACGGAAGAUGGUCGGAUAGUGUCGUCCCCUUCCUCUCGGCGGCGGUGGAGUUCAGGUGGUCGUCGGAGAAGAUGAUUCCGACGAUGAUUGUCUUGGGCAAGGGGUCGGGGAGCACCAUGGGGAUGCCCUGAGCUCGAGGGAUGAGGUCGAUUGGGCUCGAGGUGGAGUGCUAAAGCUGGUGUCGAGGUGGCUACAGGCAAUGGAGCUCCGAUGAGAUUUGG
rnacentral:lncRNA from 1 species